UACAGAGGGUGCAAGCGUUAAUCGGAAUUACUGGGCGUAAAGCGCGCGUAGGUGGUUUGUUAAGUUGGAUGUGAAAUCCCCGGGCUCAACCUGGGAACUGCAUUCAAAACUGACAGGCUAGAGUAUGGUAGAGGGUGGUGGAAUUUCCUGUGUAGCGGUGAAAUGCGUAGAUAUAGGAAGGAACACCAGUGGCGAAGGCGACCACCUGGACUGAUACUGACACUGAGGCACGAAGGCCAGGGGAGCAAACGGG
rnacentral:rRNA from 1 species